GAUGAAGAACGCAGCGAAAUGCGAUAAUUAAUGUGAAUUGCAGAAUUCAGUGAAUCAUCGAAUCUUUGAACGCAUCUUGCGCUCCUUGGUAUUCCGAGGAGCAUGCCUGUUUGAGUGUCAUUUAACUUCUCAACCACAUUGGAUAUUUUUUUUCCGAUGCCGGCUUGGAUGUGGGGGUUGUUUGCAGGCUUUUUGUAACAAAAAAGGUCGGCUCCCCUGAAAUGUAUUAGUGGUAUCUGAGGCUAUUACUAUUAGGUGUGAUAAUUAUCUAUGCCUUUUGGGUAUGCCGCAUGAACAGAUUAUGCUGCUUCUAACGAAAACUAUUUUGAUGAAUUUGACCUCAAAUCAGGUAGGACUACCCGCUGAACUUAAGCAUAUCAAUAAGCGGAGGA
rnacentral:misc_RNA from 1 species